CCUACGGGCGGCUGCAGUAGGGAAUCUUUCACAAUGGGCGAAAGCCUGAUGGAGCAACGCCGCGUGCAGGAUGAAGGCCUUCGGGUUGUAAACUGCUUUUAUAAGCGAGAAAUAUGAUGGUAACUUAUGAAUAAGGAUCGGCUAACUACGUGCCAGCAGCCGCGGUCAUACGUAGGAUCCGAGCAUUAUCCGGAGUGACUGGGUGUAAAGAGUGGCGUAGGUGGCAUAAUAAGUAGCUAGUGAAAUCUGGUGGCUCAACCAUUCAGACUAUUAGCUAAACUGUUAAGCUCGAGACCGUUAGGGGUAACUGGAAUUUCUAGUGUAGGAGUGAAAUCCGUAGAUAUUAGAAGGAACACCAAUAGCGUAGGCAGGUUGCUGGGACGGUUCUGACACUAAGGCACGAAAGCGUAGGGAGCAAACGGGAUUAGAUACCACUGUAGUC
rnacentral:rRNA from 1 species